rnacentral:rRNA from 1 species
GUUCCAUCUGGAAGAAUCUGGAGACAGGUGCUGCAUGGCUGUCGUCAGCUCGUGUCGUGAGAUGUUGGGUUAAGUCCCGCAACGAGCGCAACCCUUGCCUUUAGUUGCCAGCAGUUCGGCUGGGCACUCUAAAGGGACUGCCGGGUGUUAAACCGGAGGAAGGUGGGGAUGACGUCAAGUCCUCAUGGCCUUUAUGACCAGGGCUACACACGUACUACAAUGGCCGAUACAAAGGGCAGCGACACUGCGAGGUGAAGCCAAUCCCGUAAAAUCGGUCUCAGUCCGGAUUGGAGUCUGCAACUCGACUCCAUGAAGUUGGAAUCGCUAGUAAUCGUGGAUCAGCAUGCCACGGUGAAUACGUUCCCGGGCCUU